AGUUGUCAUAUGCUUGUCUAAAAGAUUAAGCCAUGCAAGUCUAAGUAUAAAUCUAUACUUUGAAACUGCGGAUAGCUCAUUAUAACAGUUAUAAUUUAUUUGAUGGUCCCUUACUACUUGGAUAUCCGUAGUAAUUCUAGAGCUAAUACAUGCCAUUCAACCCUGACCUUACGGGAGGGGGGUACUUAUUAGAUACAAAAGCCAAUCGCGUUUCGCGACACGAUGGUGAUUCAUAAUAAUUAAUCGAACCUCGAGAGCAAUCUUGAGGUGGGUCAUUCAAAUUUCUGCCCUAUCAGCUGUGAUGUUAGUGUAGUGUACUAACAUGGCUAAAACGGGUGACGGAGGAUUGGGGUCUGAUUCCGGAGAGGGAGCCUGAGAAACGGCUACCACUUCCAAGGAAGGCAGCAGGCGCGUAAAUUACCCAAUCCCAAUACGGGGAGGUAGUGACAAGAAAUCCCAAUACUGGGUCUAAACGAUUCGGUAAUUGGAAUGAGAGCAUUGUAAAACAAUCAACGAGAAUCUAUUGGAGGGCAAGUCUGGUGCCAGCAGCCGCGGUAAUACCAGCUCCAAGAGCGUAUAUAAAUGUUGUUGCAGUUAAAAGGCUCGUAGUCGAAACAAUGGCUGGUAGUCCUCAUGCCUAUACCUAGUGUAUGGUGCUAUGUUGCUGCCAUGUCAUCCUUCUGUGAGGCAUUACUGCUCUUGAUUGAGUGGGUAGUGUCGAUCAGAUCCAUUACUGUGAGGAAAUCAUAGAGCUCAAAUCCAGACAUUGUGCUCAGUAUGCUAUAGCAUGGAAUAAUAAUAUAGGACUUUGGUUCUAUUUAUUGGCUUCUAGAACGAAAGUAAUGAUUAAAAGGGAUAGUUGGGGGUGCUUGUACUUAGCGGUCAGCGGUGAAAUGCAGAGACCCGUUAAUGACAAACUUAUGCGAAAGCAUUCACCAAAGAUAUCUUCUUUGAUCAAGAACGAAAGUUGGGGGAUCGAAGACGAUCAGAUACCGUCGUAGUCCCAACCGUAAACGAUGCCAACUUGAAAUUGGUAGUCAAUCAUUUUACCACCAGCUUCACCAGUGGAAACAAAGUUUUUGGGUUCUGGGGGUAGUAUGGUCGCAAGACUGAAACUUAAAGGAAUUGACGGAAGGGCACCACCAGGAGUGGAGCUUGCGGCUUAAUUCGACUCAACACGGGGAAACUUACCAGGUCCAGACAUAGUAAGGAUUGACAGAUUGAAGAUCUUUCUUGAUUCUAUGGGUGGUGGUGCAUGGCCGUUCUUAGUUGGUGGAGCGAUUUGUCUGGUUAAUUCCGUUAACGAACGAGACCACAGCCUACUAAUUAGUUGGUAUAAAGUUUCUUUGUACUAAACUUCUUAGAGGGACUAUCGGAUUUAAGCCGGUGGAAGGGUGUGGCAAUAACAGGUCUGUGAUGCCCUUAGAUGUUCUGGGCCGCACGCGUGCUACUGUUAAGAAAUGCGUGAGUAUUGCCUUGACCGAAGUGUCUGGGAAAUCUCAUAAUCUUCUUAGUAGGAGGGCUUGACAGUUGAAACUAUUGCCAUAAACCAGGAAUUCCUCGUAGACGUAAGUCAAGAACUUACAUCGAUUACGUCCCUGCCCUUUGUACACACCGCCCGUCGCUCCUACCGAUUGAAUGUUCCGGUGAAUGCUUUGGAGAUAUGGUUUGGAAGCUUUGCUUACAAAUCUAUGUCAAAGAUGUGUAAACCUUAACAUUUAGAGGAAGAGA
rnacentral:rRNA from 1 species